rnacentral:rRNA from 1 species
GGUGAACGCUGGCGGUAGGCCUAACACAUGCAAGUCGAACGGCAGCACAGAGGAGCUUGCUCCUUGGGUGGCGAGUGGCGGACGGGUGAGGAAUACAUCGGAAUCUACUCUGUCGUGGGGGAUAACGUAGGGAAACUUACGCUAAUACCGCAUACGACCUACGGGUGAAAGCAGGGGAUCUUCGGACCUUGCGCGAUUGAAUGAGCCGAUGUCGGAUUAGCUAGUUGGCGGGGUAAAGGCCCACCAGGGCGACGAUCCGUAGCUGGUCUGAGAGGAUGAUCAGCCACACUGGAACUGAGACACGGUACAGACUCCGACGGGAGGCAGCAGUGGGGAAUAUUGGACAAUGGGCGCAAGCCUGAUCCAGCCAUACCGCGUGGGUGAAGAAGGCCUUCGGGUUGUAAAGCCCUUUUGUUGGGAAAGAAAUCCAUCUGGUUAAUACCCGGGUGGGAUGACGGUACCCAAAGAAUAAACACCGGCUAACUUCGUGCCAGCCGCCGCCGUAA